AGCGGCGGACGGGUGAGUAACGCGUGGGUAACCUGCCCUGUACACACGGAUAACAUACCGAAAGGUAUGCUAAUACGAGAUGAUAUGCUUUUAUCGCAUGGUAGAAGUAUCAAAGCUUUUGCGGUACAGGAUGGACCCGCGUCUGAUUAGCUAGUUGGUAAGGUAACGGCUUACCAAGGCGACGAUCAGUAGCCGACCUGAGAGGGUGAUCGGCCACAUUGGAACUGAGACACGGUCCGAACUCCUACGGGAGGCAGCAGUGGGGAAUAUUGCACAAUGGGCGAAAGCCUGAUGCAGCAACGCCGCGUGAGCGAUGAAGGCCUUCGGGUCGUAAAGCUCUGUCCUCAAGGAAGAUAAUGACGGUACUUGAGGAGGAAGCCCCGGCUAACUACGUGCCAGCAGCCGCGGUAAUACGUAGGGGGCUAGCGUUAUCCGGAAUUACUGGGCGUAAAGGGUGCGUAGGUGGUUUCUUAAGUCAGAGGUGAAAGGCUACGGCUCAACCGUAGUAAGCCUUUGAAACUGGGAAACUUGAGUGCAGGAGAGGAGAGUGGAAUUCUUAGUGUAGCGGUGAAAUGCGUAGAUAUUAGGAGGAACACCAGUUGCGAAGGCGGCUCUCUGGACUGUAACUGACACUGAGGCACGAAAGCGUGGGGAGCAAACAGGAUUAGAUACCCUGGUAGUCCACGCCGUAAACGAUGAGUACUAGCUGU
rnacentral:rRNA from 1 species